rnacentral:rRNA from 1 species
GGAAAGCCCAGACGGCAAGGGAUGGGGUCGCGGCCCAUUAGGUAGACGGCGGGGUAACGGCCCACCGUGCCCGCGAUGGGUAGCCGGGUUGAGAGACCCAUCGGCCACAUUGGGACUGAGAUACGGCCCAGACUCCUACGGGAGGCAGCAGUGGGGAAUUUUGCGCAGUGGGGGAAACCCUGACGCAGCAACGCCGCGUGCGGGACGAAGGCCUUCGGGUUGUAAACCGCUUUCAGCAGGGAAUAUAGUGAAGGUACCUGCAGAAGAAGCUCCGGCUAACUACGUGCCAGCAGCCGCGGUAAUACGUAGGGAGCGAGCGUUAUCCGGAUUCAUUGGGCGUAAAGCGCGCGUAGGCGGCCCGUCAAGCGGGGUUUCAAAUCCAGGGGCUCAACCUCUGGCCGGACCCCGAACUGGCGGGCUCGAGUGCGGUAGAGGAAGGUGGAAUUCCCAGUGUAGCGGUGAAAUGCGCAGAUAUUGGGAAGAACACCGAUGGCGAAGGCAGCCUUCUGGGCCGCCACUGACGCUGAGGCGCGAAAGCUAGGGGAGCGAACAGGAUUAGAUACCCUGGUAGUCCUAGCCGUAAACGAUAACACUAGGUGUGGGGGAGCAUCUCCUCCGUGCC